CCUACGGGAGGCAGCAGUGGGGAAUUUUGGACAAUGGGCGCAAGCCUGAUCCAGCAAUGCCGCGUGAGUGAAGAAGGCCUUCGGGUUGUAAAGCUCUUUUGUCAGGGAAGAAACGGCUGAGGUUAAUACCUUUGGCUAAUGACGGUACCUGAAGAAUAAGCACCGGCUAACUACGUGCCAGCAGCCGCGGUAAUACGUAGGGUGCAAGCGUUAAUCGGAAUUACUGGGCGUAAAGCGUGCGCAGGCGGUUUUGUAAGUCUGUCGUGAAAGCCCCGGGCUCAACCUGGGAAUUGCGAUGGAGACUGCAAGGCUUGAAUCUGGCAGAGGGGGGUAGAAUUCCACGUGUAGCAGUGAAAUGCGUAGAGAUGUGGAGGAACACCGAUGGCGAAGGCAGCCCCCUGGGUCAAGAUUGACGCUCAUGCACGAAAGCGUGGGGAGCAAACAGGAUUAGAUACCCUGGUAGUCCACGCCCUAAACGAUGUCUACUAGUUGUCGGGUUUUAAUUAACUUGGUAACGCAGCUAACGCGUGAAGUAGACCGCCUGGGGAAUACGGUCGCAAGNUUAAAACUCAAAUGAAUUGACCGGNUGAGAGNGCGAGACGACGACGAGGGAGGAGG
rnacentral:rRNA from 1 species